rnacentral:rRNA from 1 species
GACGAACGCUGGCGGCGUGCUUAACACAUGCAAGUCGAACGAUGAAGCUGGAGCUUGCUCCGGUGGAUUAGUGGCGAACGGGUGAGUAACACGUGAGCAAUCUGCCCUUCACUCUGGGAUAACUGCGGGAAACUGUAGCUAAUACCGGAUACGAGACCUUGGGGCAUCCCAGGGUCUGGAAAGAAUUUCGGUGAAGGAUGAGCUCGCGGCCUAUCAGCUAGUUGGUGAGGUAAAGGCUCACCAAGGCGACGACGGGUAGCCGGCCUGAGAGGGUGACCGGCCACACUGGGACUGAGACACGGCCCAGACUCCUACGGGAGGCAGCAGUGGGGUAUAUUGCACAAUGGGCGAAAGCCUGAUGCAGCAACGCCGCGUGAGGGAUGAAGGCCUUCGGGUUGUAAACCUCUUUUAGUAGGGAAGAAGCGCAAGUGACGGUACCUACAGAAAAAGCACCGGCUAACUACGUGCCAGCCGCCGCCGUAA